CUGAGAGGAGCUUCAACACUGAAGAGAAUCCAGACUUUCCUCAGAGAAGGCCUGACUGCUUCAGCUGCUGACACAGAGCACAUCGUCAUGCAGGAUUUACCACCUCAGCCUGCUUACGUAACGCCACGACACGCUUCUGCACUGACGAGGAGAAAACAGCGAGGACAAGAACGAAACGAGUGAUAAAAAGAGAGAUCAUUGGUUGAGACGAGGACGGGGUGGGAGGGACGAGGAGAUAGCGUGGAUGUUGCUGGAACUGUCUGACUCUGCAGAGGAAACACUGCAGAGUGACCAAAAGCACACAGUGACCUUCACUCAUUUCUGCAAGUUCUGCAUUGCUGCCAACAAAAAUAAGCGUUUAACCUGACGUGUGCAGCAAAACCAUGAUGCGAAGCAGAAACWGCAGCUCAGAUGUGCAGCGAGCAGCCUGCAGAGGCUCAGACAGGAGGUGGAAUCACAACAGGAACAAGUAUUAAUACUAUAGAGCCCUACAGCUCAUUUUACUCACAUGAGUUGUGUAGAAAUAUAAAGUGUAGACGUCYAGGCCCCAAAUUUACUUGUAAUUUUCAGGGCCGGGCCUGAUCAAGACUUCAGGUGGUUCCUCUCCCCCGUGCAGUUUUUUAAAUCUCUCAUCCAAUUUACAAACAUACAUCCCAAAUUAACCCUGCUGUUCUGUUCGUUUCUGAGGAACAGUAAUGUUCCUGGGUCAGUUUGACCUGGAGAAGGUUUAAACAUGCAGUAGUGUCAAACAAAAAAACAAAUAAAUAAAUAAAAAAUCCCUGAAAACAUUUGUGUAUCUGAUUAACUCCACUAACCAUUGCCAUCAAYAUUUGUGGUUUUAUUUCUCACAGAUAAAAGGAUCAAUGAAGACAAUUCACUUGUGUUUCAUAAAAAUGUACAUUACAUUUUUUAUGUGCACUGAAAAUACACCUGUUCAUGUUGUGGAGUGAAACAGUUCUAGGGGGUCCAGGGGUAAAAGAUCUACACAUAUCUCUGCUUUUUCCAGCUAUUUGAAGAGAGUUUAAUCAAAUUAUUGGGAUUAAUAAAACAUAAAAUCAGUUUAUGUUAUUUAUGAAGUUAAAACACAGAAAAYCAGACUUAAACCUGAACUUUAUCUGAGAUCAGAACUGAAACUUUCCUCCACACCCUGAGCAGCAGGAGUUAGUCUGACUGCAUCAUUGUUUGGACAAACGUGCUUCUCUUCAGGGAUUCAAA